rnacentral:rRNA from 1 species
UACGUAGGCAGCGAGCGUUGUUCGGAGUUACUGGGCGUAAAGGGUGUGUAGGCGGUUCUUUAAGUUUGGUGUGAAAUCUCCCGGCUUAACCGGGAGGGUGCGGCGAAUAACUGAGAUGCUGGAGUGCCGGAGAGGUAAGCGGAAUUCCUGGUGUAGCGGUGAAAUGCGUAGAUAUCAGGAGGAACACCUGCGGUGUAGACGGCUUACUGGACGGUAACUGACGCUGAGGCACGAAAGCGUGGGUAGCAAACAGG